UACGUAGGCAGCAAGCGUUGUUCGGAAUUACUGGGCGUAAAGGGUGGGUAGGCGGUGCCUCAAGUUUGGUGUGAAAUCUCCCGGCUCAACUGGGAGGGUGCGCCGAAAACUGAGGUGCUCGAGUGUGGGAGAGGUAGGCGGAAUUCCUGGUGUAGCGGUGAAAUGCGUAGAUAUCAAGAGGAACACCGGCGGUGUAGACGGCUUACUGGACCAUUACUGACGCUGAACCACGAAAGUGUGGGUAGCAAACAGG
rnacentral:rRNA from 1 species